GCCUCCUUAGCUCAGUUGGUAGAGCAGUGGACUCUUAAUCCAUGGGUCGCAGGUUCAAGCCCUGCAGGGGGCA
rnacentral:tRNA from 6 species